AUUGAACGCUGGCGGCAGGCCUAACACAUGCAAGUCGAACGAGUGGCGGACGGGUGAGUAAUGUCUGGGAAACUGCCUGAUGGUGGGGGAUAACUACUGGAAACGGUAGCUAAUACCGCAUACCAUCAGAUGUGCCCAGAUGGGAUUAGCUAGUAGGUGGGGUAAUGGCUCACCUGGGCGACGAUCCCUAGCUGGUCUGAGAGGGUGGCCAGCCACACUGGAACUGAGACACGUUCCAGACUCCUACGUGAGGUAGCAGUGGGGAAUAUUGCGCAAUGGGCGCAAGCCUGAUGCAGCCAUGCCGCGUGUGUGAAGAAGGCCUUCGGGUUGUAAAGCACUUUCAGCGGGGAGGCGUUACCCGCAGAAGAAGCACCGGCUAACUCCGUGCCAGCAGCCGCGGUAAUAC
rnacentral:rRNA from 1 species